GAGCAUGACCGCGUGAGGGAGGAAGGCUCUUGGGUUGUUUACCUCUUUUCUCUGGGAAUAAGUUCUGAAGGUACCUGAUGAAUAAGCAUCGGCUAACUCCGUGCCAUUAGCCGCGGUAAUACGGACGAUGCGAGCGUUAUCCGGAAUCAUUGGGCGUAAAGCGUCCGCAGGUGGAGUGGUAAGUCUGUUGUCAAAGAACGGGGCUUAACCCCGUAAAGGCGAUGGAAACUGCCACACUACAGGCUGGUAGGGGUAAAGGGAAUUCCCAGUGUAACGGUGAAAUGCGUAGAGAUUGUUAAGAACACCGAUGGCGAAAGCGCUCUACUGGACCAGAACUGACACUCAGGGACGAAAGCUAGGGGAGCGAAAGGGAUUACAUACCCCUGUAGUCCUAGCCGUAAACGAUGGAUACUAGGCGUACCCCGUAUCGACCCGAGCUGUGCCGAAGCUAACGCGUUAAGUAUCCCGCCUGGGGAGUACGCACGCAAGUGUGAAACUCAAAGGAAAUUGACGGGGGCCCGCACAAGCGGUGGAGUAUGUGGUUUAAUUCGAUGCAACGCGAAGAACCUUUACCAGGGCUUGACAUCUGGCGAAUCUCGAUGAAAGUUGGGAGUGCCUUAGGGAACGCCAAGACAGGUGGUGCAUGGCUGUCGUCAGCUCGUGUCGUGAGAUGUUGGGUUAAGUCCCGCAACGAGCGCAACCCUCGUCCUUAGUUGCCAGCAUUAAGUUGGGAACUCUAGGGAGACUGCCGGUGACAAACCGGAGGAAGGUGGGGAUGACGUCAAGUCAGCAUGCCCCUUACGCCCUGGGCUACACACGUACUACAAUGGUCGGGACAACGGGCAGCAAGCAGGCAACUGUAAGCGAAUGUCAUCAAACCCGGCCUCACUUCAGAUUGCAGGUUGCAACUCGCCUGCAUGAAGGGGGAAUCGAUAGUAAUUGCAGGUCAGAAUAUUGCGGCGAAUCCGUUCCCGGGCCUUGUACACACCGCCCGUCACACCAUGGGAGCUGGCCACGCCCGAAGUCGUUACUCCAACCUGCAAAGGAGGAGGAUGCCGAAGGCAGGGCUAGUGUCUGGGGUGAAGUCGUAACAAGGUAGCCGUACCGGAAGGUG
rnacentral:rRNA from 1 species